rnacentral:rRNA from 1 species
GAUGAACGCUGACAGAAUGCUUAACACAUCAGCAAUUGAUUGGUGGCGGACGGGUGAGUAACGCGUAAAGAACUUGCCACACAGGUAGGGCCAACAUUUGGAAACGAAUGCUAAUACCUAAUACUGUGAGAGAGCUUGGCUGCCCAUUAGCUAGUUGGAGCGGUAACGGCAAACAAAGGCGAGGAUGGGUAGCCGGCCUGAGAGGGUGAUCGGCCACAAGGGGACUGAGACACGGCCCUUACUCCUACGUGAGGCAGCAGUGGGGAAUAUUGGACAAUGGACCAAAGUCUGAUCCAGCAAUUCUGUGUGAACGAUGAAGUUUUCGGAAUGUAAAGUGCUUUCAGUGGGGAAGCGGUACCAACAGAAGAGGGGACGGCUAAAUACGUGCCAGCAGCGGCGGUAAUAC